UACAGAGGGUGCAAGCGUUGUUCGGAAUUAUUGGGCGUAAAGGGCGCGUAGGCGGUGCGGUAAGUCUGCGGUGAAAUCUCCCGGCUCAACUGGGAGGGGUCAUUCGAUACUGGCGGGCUCGAGGCCGGUAGGGGGAAGCGGAAUUCCCGGUGUAGUGGUGGAAUGCGUAGAUAUCGGGAGGAACACCAGUGGCGAAGGCGGCUUCCUGGACCGGUUCUGACACUGAGGAGCGAAAGCGUGGGGAGCGAUCCGG
rnacentral:rRNA from 1 species